CCGCGGCCCUCUCUCUCCCACCUUCGAAGAAUCGCCCGGAUUUCCCUCUGGAUCCGAGGGCCCGCGGCUGCAGCCCCGGGCAGACACACAUGCCAUGGAAUCACAGCCAGCAGUUUCAGAAUACCUCCCUCCCGCAAGUCAGACUCCUCAUGGCUGUUACCUCUGGCACACACAACGCCCUGGCGUGCCUUGGAAUACGUUUUAAUGGGCGAAGAAACUGACUCAGAGAUUCAGCUACUUGCCCACGGCCACAAUGAGCACAGGCCCAGGCUCUCCCCACGCUCGCUUUGUGGCUCUGGCUCCCCGAGGGUCUUUCUGCCUGAACGGAGCACAUCUGCUGUGAGCUGGACGUGACUCACACAGCACAUGGUCCCUAUGCUUUUGUGCAUGCCAUUGGCUACUCUGAGAAAGCCCUUAGUCCCUCCCCUUUGUCAAUAUCCUUCCCAUCUGUGCUUCAAAAAUGGCUUAAACUGUAAACACCACCUACAGAUUUUUAAAAUCCUUAUUCUCAGCCUAUGAAAAAAGUCCGGAAGAUGUCAUCAUAGUGAUGAAACUAUGUAAAUACUCUGAAGCUGGCAGUCACACCCGGCUGCCGUGGAGAGGUAGAGGGCAGGAGGUGGGGAGGGAGUGGAGGCACAUGGUCUUACCUUAUAAAUCAAGGUGUCAGGAGACCCGGCCUACCAAUAGUGGGACAUGAAAUAAAGGAGUACGGGGGACUCUUUCCCCCUCCCCACGUGGGAGUCUGUACUUGUUCUUCAAUAAAUUUCCAUCUUUGCUAUAAAAAAAAGGAGUAUGUUAUUCAGAGUUACAAAGGCAGCCAUAUAUAUACAAAAUAACAGCAAAACUAUU